GAUGAAGAACGUAGUGAAAUGCGAUACGUAAUGUGAAUUGCAAAUUCAGUGAAUCAUCGAGUCUUUGAACGCACAUUGCGCCCCCUGGUAUUCCGGGGGGCAUGCCUGUCCGAGCGUCAUUGCUGCCCUCAAGCACGGCUUGUGUGUUGGGCCCCGUCCUCCGAUUCCGGGGGACGGGCCCGAAAGGCAGCGGCGGCACCGCGUCCGGUCCUCGAGCGUAUGGGGCUUUGUCAUCCGCUCUGUAGGCCCGGCCGGCGCUUGCCGAUCAACCCAAAUUUUUAUCCAGGUUGACCUCGGAUCAGGUAGGGAUACCCGCUGAACUUAAGCAUAUCAAUAAGCGGAGGA
rnacentral:misc_RNA from 1 species